rnacentral:rRNA from 1 species
AACGAACGCUGGCGGCAUGCCUAACACAUGCAAGUCGAACGAGACCUUCGGGUCUAGUGGCGCACGGGUGCGUAACGCGUGGGAACCUGCCCUUAGGUUCGGAAUAACUCCCCGAAAGGGGUGCUAAUACCGGAUAAUGUCUUCGGACCAAAGAUUUAUCGCCUUUGGGUGGGCCCGCGUUGGAUUAGCUAGUUGGUAGGGUAAAAGCCUACCAAGGCGACGAUCCAUAGCUGGUCUGAGAGGAUGCUCAGCCACACUGGGACUGAGACACGGCCCAGACUCCUACGGGAGGCAGCAGUGGGGAAUAUUGGACAAUGGGCGAAAGCCUGAUCCAGCAAUGCCGCGUGAGUGAUGAAGGCCUUAGGGUUGUAAAGCUCUUUUACCCGGGAUGAUAAUGACAGUACCGGGAGAAUAAGCUCCGGCUAACUCCGUG